rnacentral:rRNA from 1 species
UACGAAGGGGGCUAGCGUUGCUCGGAAUCACUGGGCGUAAAAGCGCACGUAGGCGGAUUGUUAAGUCAGGGGUGAAAUCCUGGAGCUCAACUCCAGAACUGCCUUUGAUACUGGCGAUCUUGAGUCCGGGAGAGGUGAGUGGAACUGCGAGUGUAGAGGUGAAAUUCGUAGAUAUUCGCAAGAACACCAGUGGCGAAGGCGGACUCACUGGCCCGGUACUGACGCUGAGGUGCGAAAGC